UCAGAGUAUAGCUUAACGCUAAAGCAUCGCCCUUACGCUGCGAAAAUACUCGUUAAAAUCGAGUUGCUCUGAU
rnacentral:tRNA from 1 species